GCCGGGCAUGGUGGUUCAUGCCUGUAAUCCCAGCACUUUGGGAGGCUGAGGCAGGCGGAUCACCUGAGGUCAGGAGUUCAAGACCAGCCUGACCAACAUGGAGAAACCCCGCCUCUA
rnacentral:sRNA from 1 species